rnacentral:tmRNA from 1 species
GGGGGCGAAAAUGGUUUCGACGGGGAUAUAGAAGGAAGAUAAGCGAGUCGUUGUCGCCAAACAACGUAAAAAGUGGCAAACUAAAUAUAAACGCAAACGAAGAUAAUUUAGCAUACGCUGCUUAAUUGCAGCUGCUUGUUCCGCUUAACCGACCUGUAGGUUAAACUGGAGCAUCAUUUAAAUCAGGGAACUGUCUAAGGGCUUCUUCGACCUUAGAUGGAACAAUAGAAGAUAGCAAGGAUUGCAGCUUGGGCAUAGGCGGCAGUCUAAGCGAAUUAAAAAGUAUGUCCUGCACUCGGAGAAAGUCUUGUGGAAAUAUUUUCGGACGUGGGUUCGACUCCCACCGCCUCCAUAU